UUUGGGAGGCCAAGGCUGGAGGAUCACUUGAAACCAGGAAUUUGAGACCAGCCUGGGCAACACAGUGAGACCUCAUCUCUACGAAAGA
rnacentral:miRNA from 1 species